rnacentral:rRNA from 1 species
UACGGAGGGUGCAAGCGUUAUCCGGAUUCACUGGGUUUAAAGGGUGCGUAGGUGGGCAAGUAAGUCAGUGGUGAAAUCUCCGGGCUUAACCCGGAAACUGCCAUUGAUACUAUCAGUCUUGAAUAUUGUGGAGGUCAGCGGAAUAUGUCAUGUAGCGGUGAAAUGCUUAGAGAUGACAUAGAACACCAAUUGCGAAGGCAGCUGGCUACGCAUAUAUUGACACUGAGGCACGAAAGCGUGGGGAUCAAACAGG